ACCUGGUUCCAGCCAGACUCUUUGGACCAGCUCCUCGAUCUGAAGUGGACCCACCCGGAGUCCAAGAUAGUGGUUGGGAACACAGAAGUGGGGAUCGAGGUGAAGUUUAAAAACAUGGUGUAUCCGGUGUUCAUUUCUCCGACUCAGGUCCCAGAGCUGAACUCGGUGCGACACACAGAGACAGGUAUCAGGUUCGGUGCAGCAGUGAGCCUGGAC